rfam:Aedes albopictus isolate Foshan contig81085, whole genome shotgun sequence.
UAGCCUAGUGGUUAAGGCUAUGGAUCGCCAAUCCGGAAACGGCGGGUUCAAUUCCCGU